rnacentral:rRNA from 1 species
UGAAUACGAGACGCUAAGGCGUCGAAGUAGUGUAUGUCAUACUUCCAAGAAAAGCUUGCACUGUCAUAAGUAAAAAAUGCCUGUACCAUAACCGACACAGGUGGGUAGGUAGAGUAUACUAAGGGGCGCGAGAUAACUCUCUCUAAGGAACUCGGCAAAAUAACUCCGUAACUUCGGGAGAAGGAGUACCUUAUUCUAUAAGGUUGCAAUAACAAGAUCCAAGCAACUGUUUAUCAAAAACACAGGUCUCCGCUAAGUCGUAAGACGAUGUAUGGGGGCUGACGCCUGCCCAGUGCCGGAAGGUUAAAGAAGUCGGUUAGCAUUAGCGAAGCUGGUAACUGAAGCCCUGGUGAACGGCGGCCGUAACGAUAACGGUCCUAAGGUAGCGAAAUUCCUUGUCGGGUAAGUUCCAACCCGCACGAAAGGCGUAAUGAUUUGGAUACUGUCUCGGAGAGGGGCUCGGUGAAAUAGACUUGUCUGUGAAGAUGCGGACUACCUGCACCAGGACAGAAAGACCCUAUGAAGCUUUACUGUAACUUGAAAUUGAAAUUGGACUUUAUUCGCGCAGUAUAGGUGGGAGGUGUUGAUUAUAAUCUUGCGGGAUUAUUGGAGCCAUCAGUGAGAUACCACUCUUGUAAUGUUAGAUUUCUAACUUUGAAUCAUUAUCUGGUCAAAGGACAGUUUCAGGCGGGCAGUUUGACUGGGGCGGUCGCCUCCCAAACGGUAACGGAGGCGUACAAAGGUUUCCUCUGAACGGGUAGAAAUCGUAUCUAGAGUGUAAAGGCAUAAGGAAGCUUGACUGUGAGACCUACAAGUCGAACAGGGACGAAAGUCGGUCUUAGUGAUCUGACGGUACUGAGUGGAAAGGCCGUCACUCAACGGAUAAAAGUUACUCUAGGAUAACAGGCUGAUCUCCCCCAAGAGUUCACAUCGACGGGGAGGUUUGGCACCUCGAUGUCGGCUCAUCGCAUCCUGGGGCGGUAGUACGUCCCAAGGGUUGGGCUGUUCGCCCAUGAAAGCGGUACGCGAGCUGGGUUCAGAACGUCGUGAGACAGUUCGGUCCAUAUCCGGUGUAGGCGUUAGAAUAUUGAGAGGAGCCUUCUUUAGUACGAGAGGACCGAGAAGGACAUACCUCUGGUGUACCAGUUAUCGUGCCAACGGUAAACGCUGGGUAGCUAUGUAUGGAGUGGAUGACCGCUGAAAGCAUCUAAGUGGGAAGCCCACCUCAAGAUAAGUAUUC